rnacentral:rRNA from 1 species
CGUGAGAUGUUGGGUUAAGUCCGUACGAGCGCAACCCUUGUCCUUAGUUACCAGCACGUUAUGUGGGCACUCUAAGGAGACUGCCGGUGACAAACCGGAGGAAGGUGGGGAUGACGUCAAGUCAUCAUGGCCCUUACGGCCUGGGCUACACACGUGCUACAAUGGUCGGUACAAAGGGUUGCCAAGCCGCGAGGUGGAGCUAAUCCCAUAAAACCGAUCGUAGUCCGGAUCGCAGUCUGCAACUCGACUGCGUGAAGUCGGAAUCGCUAGUAAUCGUGAAUCAGAAUGUCACGGUGAAUACGUUCCCGGGCCUU